ACUUUCAACAACGGAUCUCUUGGCUCUCGCAUCGAUGAAGCACGCAGCGAAAUGCGAUAAGUAGUGUGAAUUGCAUAAUCUUGUGAAUCAUCGAAUCUUUGAACGCAAAUUGCACUCCCUGGUAUUCCGGGGAGUAUGCCUGUUUGAGGGUCGUU
rnacentral:rRNA from 1 species